UAUCUCUGUAGAGUCUGCAUAUCAAUAAGCGGAGGAAAAGAAACUAACUAGGAUUCCCUCAGUAACGGCGAGUGAAGCGGGAAGAGCUCAAAUUUGAAAUCUUCAAGGUUCUACCUUGACGAAUUGUAGUUUAAAGAAGUGUUUUCUGUUGGAGUUUUGGUAAAAGCUCUUUGGAAUAGGACAUCAUAGAGGGUGAGAAUCCCGUAUUUGACCAUUAUUUCCAACUUUGUGAUACACUUUCAAAGAGUCGGAUUGUUUGGGAAUGCAGUCCAAAAUGGGUGGUAAAUUUCAUCUAAAGCUAAAUACUGGCGAGAGACCGAUAGCGAACAAGUACCGUGAGGGAAAGAUGAAAAGAACUUUGAAAAGAGAGUUAAACAGUACGUGAAAUUGUCAAAAGGGAAGCGUUUGACACCAGUGUUGUUUUCUCGAAAAUCAAUUAAAAAUGGCGGGAUUUUGUGUUGUAUUGACUUUAUCAGCUUUCUGCACUUUUUUCCUGUCUUUUUUAAUGCACUUUUCGUUUAACAAGUCAACAUCAGUUUCUUUUGUUGUAAAAGGGUAUGAGGAAGGUGGCUUUCUUUUCGGAGAAAGUGUUUAUAGCCUUUGUACCUCUGCAAUCGGAGAGAUUGAGGUCUGCAGCGUAGAUCCUUCGGGGUUAGAUACACUUGUGCUAAGUUAUAGCCUUUCAUAGACAACUUGUUGACUAUGAUCAGUCAUGUAGCUUACUCGCUUAUGCUAUUUUACCUACGCUUAGGAUGUUGAUGUGAUACUGCGAGC
rnacentral:rRNA from 1 species